rnacentral:tRNA from 1 species
GCGCCCGUAGCUCAACCGGUAGGGCCGUCCCCUCAUAAGGGAUCGGAUGGGGGUUCGGCUCCCGCCGGGCGCACCA